rnacentral:ncRNA from 1 species
UUCUCCCCGAAAUGCGUUGAGGCGCAGCAGUUGACUGGACAUCUAGGGGUAAACCACUGUUUCGAAGCGGGCCGCGAAAGCGGUACCAAAUCGAGACAAACUUUGAAUACUAGGUAUGGGGGAUAAGCUUCAUCGUCAAGAGGGAAACAACCCGGAUCACCAGCUAAGGCCCCUAAAUGGCCGCUCAGUGAUAAAGGAGGUAGGGAUGCGGAGACAGCAAGGAGGUUUGCCUAGAAGCAGCCACCCUUGAAAGAGUGCGUAAUAGCUCACUGAUCGAGCGCUUUUGCGCCGAAGAUGAACGGGGCUAAGCGAUCUGCCGAAGCUGUGGGGUGUAAAAAUACAUCGGUAGGGGAGCGUUCCGCCUUAGAGGGAAGCCUCCGCACGAGCGGUGGUGGACGAAGCGGAAGCG